AUACGGAGGAUGCGAGCGUUAUCCGGAUUUAUUGGGUUUAAAGGGAGCGUAGGCGGGAGCUUAAGUCAGCGGUUAAAUGGUGCGGCUCAACCGUGCCCUGCCGUUGAAACUGGGUUUCUUGAGAGUGCAAGAGGCGGAUGGAAUUCAUGGUGUAGCGGUGAAAUGCUUAGAUAUCAUGAAGAACUCCGAUUGCGAAGGCAGUCCGCUGGGGCACGUCUGACGCUGAUGCUCGAAGGUGCGGGAAUCAAACAGGAUUAGAUACCCUGGUAGUCCGCACGGUAAACGAUGAUUACCCGCUGUCGGCGGCAGACAGUCGGCGGCCAAGCGAAAGCGAUAAGUAAUCCACCUGGGGAGUACGCCGGCAACGGUGAAACUCAAAUGAAUUGACGGGG
rnacentral:rRNA from 1 species